GAACUGUAGAGUUUGAUCCUGGCUCAGAUUGAACGCUGGCGGCAUGCCUUACACAUGCAAGUCGAACGGCAGCACGGACUUCGGUCUGGUGGCGAGUGGCGAACGGGUGAGUAAUACAUCGGAACGUGCCUAGUAGUGGGGGAUAACUACUCGAAAGAGUGGCUAAUACCGCAUGAGAUCUACGGAUGAAAGCAGGGGAUCGCAAGACCUUGUGCUACUAGAGCGGCCGAUGGCAGAUUAGGUAGUUGGUGGGAUAAAAGCUUACCAAGCCAACGAUCUGUAGCUGGUCUGAGAGGACGAUCAGCCACACUGGGACUGAGACACGGCCCAGACUCCUACGGGAGGCAGCAGUGGGGAAUUUUGGACAAUGGGCGAAAGCCUGAUCCAGCAAUGCCGCGUGCAGGAUGAAGGCCUUCGGGUUGUAAACUGCUUUUGUACGGAACGAAAAGCUUCGGGUUAAUACCCUGGAGUCAUGACGGUACCGUAAGAAUAAGCACCGGCUAACUACGUGCCAGCAGCCGCGGUAAUACGUAGGGUGCAAGCGUUAAUCGGAAUUACUGGGCGUAAAGCGUGCGCAGGCGG
rnacentral:ncRNA from 1 species